CAGUAGCGGCGAGUGAGCGGCAAGAGCUCAGAUUUGGAAUCGUGUUUCGGCACGAGUUGUAAAUUGCAGGUUGGAGUCUUUGUGGAAGCGUGUGUCCAAGUCCCUUGGAACAGGGCGCCAUUGAGGGUGAGAGCCCCGUGGGAUGCGCGCGGAAGCAACAAGGCCCUUCUGACGAGUCGAGUUGUUUGGGAAUGCAGCUCUAAGCGGGUGGUAAAUUCCAUCUAAGGCUAAAUACUGGCGAGAGACCGAUAGCGAACAAGUACUGUGAAGGAAAGAUGAAAAGCACUUUGAAAAGAGAGUGAAACAGCACGUGAAAUUGUUGAAAGGGAAGGGUAUUGGGCCCGACAUGGGGAUUGCGCAUCUCUGCUCCUUGUGGGCGGGGCGCUGUGCUUUUCCUGGGCCAGCAUCGGUUUUUGCCGCAGGAGAAGGGGUACUGGAAUGUGGCUCCUCGGAGUGUUAUAGCCAGUGCCAGAUGCUGCGUGCGGGGACCGAGGGCUGCGACAUCUGUCUCGGAUGCUGGCACAACGGCGCAAUACCGCCCGUCUUGAACAACCGGACCAAA
rnacentral:rRNA from 1 species